CUUUUUCAAGGAUGACAAGAUUGCCGAGACUUACGUGCCAGAUGUACAUCCAUGCAAUCCUCAUAUUGCAAUGAGUCCGGGCUACGAUGGCAGAGAUUUGGCAGGGCCAUCCAGUAAGAACAUAUGAGACUGGAGAUUAUAAUCUUGUCGAUGACAAUUUUCACCGGAUGGAACCUCGUUGGUAGUCAAGACGACGAAGGUGCGUAAUACGAUCAGGAAACUCGGUUGCCUCCUCAUCAAAGGAAUCUUCAAGAUCUCUUGUGCGAUGCAAGCUUGAUUCCCUAUCCAGAACCUUAUCAAAGCUCGUACCAGCAACGUCGUCUGGGACUCCUAGGUUGCUACUGGCAACCACCAUCAGUUCAGCUCGCAGUGGGAACGUUUGAUGAUCCAGCUUUCAUUCCUCAGGAUAAGCCUCAGUUUCUUCUCUGCAAGCGAUUG